UUUCUUUCUUAAACACAUAGUACAGAGCCAUUUUGGAGAUGCCAUGUAUCAUUUCAUUCUCUAGUAUUGCAGAAACCACAAUGAGGUAAGGAAGUUGAGGGAAUACCUGGCUUUCAGAGCUCUGACGGGCCAUCCUGACGCUUCUUGCAUUCUAACUGUGUUCUUUAAGAUGUUACUUCUCAGUCUCUUUCUAAUAGGACUGCAGAUGACGAGCCAGCCAGGAGAUAAGGAGACCCCAUAUCUUGUCUCAUUGCCUUAACUGUCUGGUUGCACUCUUACAGGCAUGGGUCAGACAACAUUUCAGUAGGGUAUCUACCACUUGAAGACUCCCAUAACAAAUACUUUGGUCAUGAGACACGGCAUUGUAGGCUGGUCGGAUACUUGAGCUUCUAGAAAACACCGCAGAGCUCAACGGGUCUCUAUUUUCCUGCAGGGACACCCUUGGGAGGAUCCCAGAGGUAAUCUUCUCUCUCUUCUCUCAUAGGCCUAUGAAGAACCAUAGGAAACAUCUUGCUGAUCCCUCCAACCUCACCAUUAGGCUUCAGCUAAUGCUUAUUGAGAACCUACUGAUUGCCCACCAUGACCCUGAAGAUGCUCUGUCCGGCUCCAGAAAUUCAAAGUCAAGGGGAAAAUCAUGCUAACAGCUGUAAUAGAAGAGGACAGAAGAGGAUGUUUGCUCUGCGUGUCCUAUAAUUGAAAUACAGAUACGUAUUUGGGAAACUGUGAUUGACAGGCAAGUAAACAAAUGCUGAUUUGGCAAAAUAUGAUUUAUAGUCAAGUAGACAACUACCCAGAAGGUAUCUUCUUAACUUUAGUCUACGUUUUUGUUUUCUGAAUAAUAAGUGUGUAACUGGUCAAAAGCCUUUUCAGUAUGAUGAUAUGAUGAUUCCAUAUUUUGGCAUUUGUUGCUCUCGUAUAUCUUAUUUGUCUGAGAAUUUUUUCUCCAAAUAACAUAAUUACCUCCUGUGUACAUGUAGAUUUUUCUACGGAUUCUUACCUUUUAAAAAAAUGUACAGGUAUACAAGCUUAUCUUUGAA
rnacentral:lncRNA from 1 species